rnacentral:lncRNA from 1 species
GACAACAUAGUGGAGGCCUACAGACUGGAGACAUUACAACAUAGUGGAGGCCUGCAGACUGGAGACAUGACAUUAUAGUGGAAGACUACAGACAUGGCAACAUAGUGGAGGCCAACAGACUGGAGACAUGACAACAUAGUGGAGGCCUACAGACUGGAGUCAUGACAACAUAGUGGAGGCCUACAGACUGGAGACAUGACAACAUAGUGGAGGCCUACAGACUGGAGUCAUGACAACAUAGGGGGGGCCUACAGACUGGAGACAUGUCAACAUAGUGGAGGCCUUCCGACUGGAGACAUGACAACAUAGUGGAGGCUUACAGACUGAAGACCUAUUGAUUGGAGACAUGACAACAUAGUGGAGGUCAACAGACUGGAGUCAUGAGAACAUAGUGGAGUCCUGCAGACUGGGGAUAUGACAACAUAGUGGAGGCCUACAGACUGGAGGCAUUACAUCAUAGUGGAGGACUACGGACUGGGGACAUGACAUUAUAGUGGAGGACUACGGACUGGGGACAUGACAUCAUAGUGGAGGCCUACAGACUGGAGACCAGCAGACUGGAGACAUGACAACGUAGUGGAGGCCUACAGACUGGAGUCAUGACAACAUAGUGAAGGCCUACAGACUGGAGUCAUGACAACAUAAUGGAGGUCUACAGACUGGAGACAUGACAACAUAGUGGAGGCCUACAGACUGGAGACAUGACAACAUAGUGGAGGCCUACAGACUGGAGACAUGACAACAUAGUGGAGGCCUACAGACUGGAGACAUUACAAAAUAGUUCAGGACUACAGAUUGGAGACAUGACAACAUAGUGGAGGCCUACAGACUGGAGACAUUACAAAAUAGUAGAGGGCUACAAACUCGAGACAUUACAACAUAGUGGAGAACUACAGACUGGAGUCAUGACAACAUAGUGGAGGCCUGCAGACUGGGGAUAUGACAACAUAGUGGAUACCUACAGACUGGAGACAUUACAACAUAGUGGAGGCCUGCAGACUGGGGAUAUGACAACAUAGUGGAGGCCUACAGACUGGUGACAUUAAAACAUAGUGGAGGCCUGCAGUCUGGAGACAUGACAACAUAUUGUAGGCCUACAGACUGGAGACAUGACAUCAUAGUGGAGGACUACGGACUGGGGACAUGACAUUAUAGUGGAGGACUACGGACUGGGGACAUGAUAUUAUUGUGGAAAACUACAGACAUGGCAACAUAGUGGAGGCCUACAGACUGGAGACAUUACAUCAUAGUGGAGGCCUACAGACUGGAGACAUUACAUCAUAGUGGAGGCCUACAGACUGGAGACAUUACAUCAUAGUGGAGGGCUACAGACUGGAGACAUGACAACAUAGUGGAGGCCUACAGACUGGUGUCAUGACAACAUAGGGGGGGCCUACAGACUGGAGACAUGACAACAUAGUGGAGAACUUCCGACAGGAGACAUGACAACAUAGCGGAGGCUUACAGACUGAAGACCUAUUGAUUGGAGACAUGACAACAUAGUGGAGGACAACAGACUGGAGUCAUGAGAACAUAGUGGAGUCCUGCAGACUGGGGAUAUGACAACAUAGUGGAGGCCUACAGACUGGAGGCAUUACAUCAUAGUGGAGAACUACGGACUGGGGACAUGACAUUAUAGUGGAGGACUACGGACUGGGGACAUGACAUCAUAGUGGAGGCCUACAGACUGGAGACCAGCAGACUGGAGUCAUGACAACAUAGUGAAGGCCUACAGACUGGAGUCAUGACAACAUAAUGGAGGCCUACAGACUGGAGACAUGACAACAUAGUGGAGGCCUACAGACUGGAGACAUUACAACAUAGUGGAGGCCUACAGACUGGAGACAUGACAUCAUAGUGGAGGCCUACAGACUGGAGACAUUACAAAAUAGUGGUAGACUACAGAUUGGAGACAUGACAACAUAGUGGAGGCCUACAAACUGGAGACAUUACAAAAUAGUGGAGGCCUAGAGACUGGAGACAUGACAUCACGGUAGAGGGCUACGAACUGGAGACAUUACAACAUAGUGGAGACCUACAGACUGGAGUCAUGACAACAUAGUGGAGGCCUGCAGACUGGGGAUAUGACAAUAUAGUGGAGACCUACAGACUGGAGACAUUACAACAUAGUGGAGGCCUGCUGAUUGGUGAUAUGACAACAUUGUGGAGGCCUACAGACUGGAGACAUUACAACAUAGUGGAGACCUACAGACUGGAGUCAUGACAACAUAGUGGAGGCCUGCAGACUGGGGAUAUGACAACAUAGUGGAUACCUACAGACUGGAGACAUUACAACAUAGUGGAGUCCUGCAGACUGGGGAUAUGACAACAUAGUGGAGGCCUACAGACUGGAGGCAUUACAUCAUAGUGGAGGCCUACAGACUGGAGACAUUACAAAAUAGUGGAGGACUACAGAUUGGAGACAUUACAAAAUAGUAGAGGGCUACAAACUCGAGACAUUACAACAUAGUGGAGAACUACAGACUGGAGUCAUGACAACAUAGUGGAGGCCUGCAGAUUGGGGAUAUGACAACAUAGUGGAGGCCUACAGACUGGAGACAUUACAAAAUAGUAGAGGGCUACAAACUCGAGACAUUACAACAUAGUGGAGAACUACAGACUGGAGUCAUGACAACAUAGUGGAGGCCUGCAGACUGGGG